rnacentral:misc_RNA from 1 species
CGUAGGUGACCUGCGGAGGAUCAUUACCGAGUGAGGGCCCUCUGGGUCCAACCUCCCACCCGUGUUUAUUUUACCUUGUUGCUUCGGCGGGCCCGCCUUAACUGGCCGCCGGGGGGCUUACGCCCCCGGGCCCGCGCCCGCCGAAGACACCCUCGAACUCUGUCUGAAGAUUGUAGUCUGAGUGAAAAUAUAAAUUAUUUAAAACUUUCAACAACGGAUCUCUUGGUUCCGGCAUCGAUGAAGAACGCAGCGAAAUGCGAUACGUAAUGUGAAUUGCAAAUUCAGUGAAUCAUCGAGUCUUUGAACGCACAUUGCGCCCCCUGGUAUUCCGGGGGGCAUGCCUGUCCGAGCGUCAUUGCUGCCCUCAAGCACGGCUUGUGUGUUGGGCCCCGUCCUCCGAUCCCGGGGGACGGGCCCGAAAGGCAGCGGCGGCACCGCGUCCGGUCCUCGAGCGUAUGGGGCUUUGUCACCCGCUCUGUAGGCCCGGCCGGCGCUUGCCGAUCAACCCAAAUUUUUAUCCAGGUUGACCUCGGAUCAGGUAGGGAUACCCGCUGAACUUAAGCAUAUCA